rnacentral:tRNA from 1 species
GCCUGGCUGGCUCAGUGGCUGAGCAUCUGCCUUCGGCUCAGGGCGUGAUCCCUGGAUCCUGGGAUCGAGUCCCACGUCGGGCU